rnacentral:rRNA from 1 species
AUUGAACGCUGGCGGCAGGCUUAACACAUGCAAGUCGAACGAGUGGCGGACGGGUGAGUAAUGCUUGGGAAUCUGGCUUAUGGAGGGGGAUAACUACGGGAAACUGUAGCUAAUACCGCGUACCAUAGGAUGAGCCCAAGUGGGAUUAGGUAGUUGGUGAGGUAAAGGCUCACCAAGCCGACGAGCUCUAGCUGGUCUGAGAGGAUGGCCAGCCACGCGUGGACGGGGACGCGGCCCAGACUCCGACGGGAGGCAGCAGGGGGGAAUAUUUCGCAAUGGGGGCAACCUGACGCAGCCAUGCCGCGUGAAUGAAGAAGGCCUGCGGGUUGUAAAGUUCUUUCGGUAGCGAGGCGUUAACUACAGAAGAAGCACCGGCAAACUCCGUGCCAGCAGCCGCGGUAAUAC